rnacentral:rRNA from 1 species
AUGAACGCUAGCGACAGGCUUAACACAUGCAAGUCGAGGGGCAGCAUGAGGUAGCAAUACCUUGAUGGCGACCGGCGCACGGGUGAGUAACGCGUAUGCAACCUGCCCGAUACCGGGGUAUAGCCCAUGGAAACGUGGAUUAACACCCCAUAGUACUUUUAUCCUGCAUGGGAUGUGAGUUAAAUGUUCAAGGUAUCGGAUGGGCAUGCGUCCUAUUAGUUAGUUGGCGGGGUAACAGCCCACCAAGACGAUGAUAGGUAGGGGUUCUGAGAGGAAGGUCCCCCACAUUGGAACUGAGACACGGUCCAAACUCCUACGGGAGGCAGCAGUGAGGAAUAUUGGUCAAUGGACGAGAGUCUGAACCAGCCAAGUCGCGUGAGGGAAGACUGCCCUAUGGGUUGUAAACCUCUUUUAUAAGGGAAGAAUAAGUUCUACGUGUAGAAUGAUGCCUGUACCUUAUGAAUAAGCAUCGGCUAACUCCGUGCCAGCAGCCGCGGUAAUACGGAGGAUGCGAGCGUUAUCCGGAUUUAUUGGGUUUAAAGGGUGCGUAGGCGGUUUAUUAAGUUAGUGGUUAAAUAUUUGAGCUAAACUCAAUUGUGCCAUUAAUACUGGUAAACUGGAGUACAGACGAGGUAGGCGGAAUAAGUUAAGUAGCGGUGAAAUGCAUAGAUAUAACUUAGAACUCCGAUAGCGAAGGCAGCUUACCAGACUGAAACUGACGCUGAUGCACGAGAGCGUGGGUAGCGAACAGGAUUAGAUACCCUGGUAGUCCACGCCGUAAACGAUGCUCACUGGUUCUGUGCGAUAUAUUGUACGGGAUUAAGCGAAAGUAUUAAGUGAGCCACCUGGGGAGUACGUCGGCAACGAUGAAACUCAAAGGAAUUGACGGGGGCCCGCACAAGCGGUGGAGCAUGUGGUUUAAUUCGAAGCAACGCGAAGAACCUUACCUGCUCUUGACAUCCCGGUGACGGCAGAGUAAUGUCUGCUUUUCUUCGGAACACCGGUGACAGGUGGUGCAUGGUUGUCGUCAGCUCGUGUCGUGAGAUGUUGGGUUAAGUCCCGCAACGAGCGCAACCCCUAUUGUUAGUUGCUACGCAAGAGCACUCUAGCGAGACUGCCGUUGACAAAACGGAGGAAGGUGGGGAUGACGUCAAAUCAUCAUGCCCUUUAUGUCUUGGGCUACACACGUACUACAAUGGAUGUUACAAAGGGAAGCGAAGUAGUGAUAUGGAGCGAAACCCAAAAAGCAUCCCCAGUUCGGAUUGUAGGCUGAAAUUCGCCUACAUGAAGCCGGAAUUGCUAGUAAUGGCAGGUCAGCAUACUGCCGUGAAUACGUUCCCGGGCCUUGUACACACCGCCCGUCACACCAUGAGAGUUGGGGAUACCCGAAGCCUGUGAGCCAACAGUUAAAUGAGGCAGCAGUCGAAGGUAGAAUCAAUGAUUGGGGUG